GAGGAGAGCUGUAGGCCGGCAUGAUGACGAACACCGGGAUACGCAGCUCCACCGCGUGAUACGCCACCGCCAUCGAGAAGUUACAGUCCGUGGCCACGAUCACGCCCUUCCUCUGCUGAUCCUGCACAGCUCAGGGUGUCUUCUGGAUGCUGCUCUGCUGGAGUCUGAAGGCAGCGGCGCUGAUGUCCUCGAAGCGGAGGUGGUCAGGGACAGCUUUGGCUGUAGUCUUGCUCUCUCCGCUCUUCUUCGGUGGUUUGGGUGUGGACAUUAACUGGAGCUCCGCCGCUUGAGAGACGCUGCCCUCGUGGACCCUCACGUCUCCAUUGAGGACUUGACAGGGUUAUUGCUCUCACUCAUGUUUACCGCGGCAGGAGGAGGAGGAGGAGGCUGAGGAAGAGUCUGAGGAGCACACACACUACAGCGUGAAGGAGCGUUCUCUGUGAUCUGUGGAAGAGCUAGAGAUGAAGACGGGUCUGGAGCAGCGGCUCUGUCUGAAGCUCCAGGAGAAGCUGAGGGAGAUCUCAGCGAGAGAGCUUUGUGCGUCUCAGGAGUCGAAGGUGAACCGGUGGAUGGAGGAAGAGCGGGAUGGGAUGAAGAACACAGAGGGUCUGCUAAACGCCGGUGAAGCUCAGACUCAGGAGGACACUGAGGAGGUUCUGGAGGCUCUCUAAGGGUUUCAGACACACACUACCCGUCAAACGUUUCUAAAACGUAAGAUCUUUGAUGUUUUUAAAAGAAGUCUCUUCUGUUCUCCAAGCCUGCUUUUAUUUGAUCCAAAAUACAGCAGUGAUAUUGUGAAUAUCCUACUAUUUAAAAAUGCUUUCUAUUAGAGUUUUAGCAGCAUUACUCCAGUCACAUGAUCCUUUAGAAAUCGUUCUAAUGUUCUGAUUUGCUCGUUUAUUAUUAUGUCUAAAACAGCUAAUUAGAAAUUCAUCUCAAAUAGAAAGCCUUUGUAACAUUACAAACAUCAGUUUCGAUCGAUUUAAAUGAAAUGAUUGAUUUCUAGAACUCAAGCUUUUAAAUUGUGUAGUGUAUAAUUUCACAAAAGCUUUUUAUUUGAGAUAAAUGCUAUUCAGCAGAGGAUCCUGAAAGAAUGCAUUGAUGAUAAUGAUAAGGAUCGCGUGACUGAAAAAUCUGCUUUGAAAUCAUUUGAUUUUAAAACAUUUUCAAAUAUUUACACUUUAUUCGUAUUUACAUUUUAAAGCAGACGCUUUUCUCUCGAAAAUGAAGACGGUGGAAGCAAUCGAAACCAACAGAAGAGCAGUAACACGCACACAAAGAUGAGUCUCUUAGUGCAAUAUAUAUGCUUUAAAGAAAACAAGUAGAGAAUAUCAACAAAAUUAAGAAACAAACAGAAUAGAAAAAAGAAAUCUAGUGUCAGAAAGAGAGCAAGAGAAUGAAUAUGCCAUUGAUAAAUGGUCAAGGCUGUGUUUUUUUGUAAAUAAAACAGACAGACGGAUCAAAUAGAAUUAGAGUAGAUGUGCUAACGAUGAAGGAGAUGUGUCUUAGCUGUUUCUUGAAGAAGGUUAAGGACCGCUCGGAUAGAGUUACACAUAGAAAGCAUCUAUAUUUUAAAUACAAGUAUCUACUGUUUUUGCUGUACUUUGAAUCAAACAAGCAGCGUCUCGGUGAGCAGAAGAGACUCGUGAAAGAUCUUACGGAGGUGUCCCACCUCUGCCAGAAGGGA